UUGAUGCUAUCGCUGCAACCAAUUUCGACCUUCUUCAGCUUCUUCUUCAGAUGCGUGUUCCAGUAGUUCUUGAUAUCGUUGUCCGUUCUCUCCGGCAGGUAAGAUGCAAUAGCAGCCCAUCUGCAGCAAAUCGAUAGAUCGCAAUUCAUCAAUAUACAAAUCAUUUUCGAAUUAACAUGCACCCAUCUGAUUAUUUAACUGAUCAAUCAAUCAUAUAUUUCACCUGUUGCCCAGAAGUGUUUGAAGAUGGACGAUGAGCUUUUCCUCAUGAUCCGUGAAGUUUCCUCUCUUGAUUCCUGGCCUGAGAUAAUUAGUCCAUCUCAGUCUGCAACUCUUACUGCAUCUCAGCAAACCUGGAAGGUGAUACAAUUAAAUAAAACUAAACUAAAUACAACAGAUGGAAUAUAUAUAUUAUAUAUACCUGUGUUGGUAGGAACAGAUCUCCAGUUCCCAGGACCAUGUUCUUGAAUAUAUGUAACUAAGAUGAUAUCUUCUUCUGGUGUCCAUGGCCCUUUCUUCACAUCUAUCUUCUCACAGCAUGGUGGUCUCCCCAUGUCUCUUCUCUUCUCUUCCACUCUGGGUGACU
rnacentral:lncRNA from 1 species